rnacentral:rRNA from 1 species
GAUGAACGCUGGCGGCGUGCCUAAUACAUGCAAGUCGAGCGAACGGACGAGAAGCUUGCUUCUCUGAUGUUAGCGGCGGACGGGUGAGUAACACGUGGAUAACCUACCUGUAAGACUGGGAUAACUUCGGGAAACCGUAGCUAAUACCGGAUAAUAUUUUGAACCGCAUGGUUCAAAAGUGAAAGACGGUCUUGCUGUCACUUAUAGAUGGGUCCGCGCUGCAUUAGCUAGUUGGUAAGGUAACGGCUUACCAAGGCAACGAUGCAUAGCCGACCUGAGAGGGUGAUCGGCCACACUGGAACUGAGACACGGUCCAGACUCCUACGGGAGGCAGCAGUAGGGAAUCUUCCGCAAUGGGCGAAAGCCUGACGGAGCAACGCCGCGUGAGUGAUGAAGGUCUUCGGAUCGUAAAACUCUGUUAUUAGGGAAGAACAUAUGUGUAAGUAACUGUGCACAUCUUGACGGUACCUAAUCAGAAAGCCACGGCUAACUACGUG